UUCCAGGACAGCCAGGGCUAUACAGAGAAACCCUGUCUCGAAGGAAAAAAAAAAAAAAAAAAAAAAACAACAACCACCUAUUACAGAACCAAUCAGGAUGGUGCAUGCCUUUAAUCCCAGUGCUCCAGAGGCACAGGCAGGUGAAUCUCUUGAGUUCAAGGCCAGCUGGUCAAAUAGAGAGUUCUAGACUGGCAUCACGAAACCCUGUUUCAAAAACAAACAAACAAACAAACAAAAAAACUAAUACAGUAAUAUGAAAAGUGCUAAUGAUAAAUCUUUUUAAAGGAUAUAAAAAUUGGGCAUGAUAGAUAGCACAUGGCCUUAAUCUAAUCAGCACUCCAGAGGCAGAGCAAAUCUCAUGAGUGUUAGGCCAAACAGGGAUGCAUAGUGAGAACUGGUCUCAAAAAAGACAUGGUGGCUUAAGUCUUUAGUCUCAGCACCCAGGAAGCAGAGGCAGAUGGGUCUCUUGAGUUUGAGGACAACCAGGAAGGACUACACAGAGAAACACCAGAGCAGGAUGGGGGGGGGGGGGUUAUCAAUAGAAUCAUAGUUAUAAUGGAAUAUUGUUUUAUCUUUUCUCUACUUUUCAAAUACUAUUCUAUGUUUUAUUAAUCUAAAAUAAUUUAAGCUAAUGUGUUGGGUAGAUGUUAUACUUAAAGGAGUAAACUUGGGGAAAUACUUUUUGGUUCUAUUUAAAACUCUAGACUCAAACCAGAUUAUUUCCUUUUUUGGUUUUGUUUGGUUUUUGUUUGUUUUGUUUUGUUUCCAAGACAGUGUAAUCUGUAGAACAGGCUAGCCUUGAACUCGGAGAUCUGCCUGCCUGUGCCUCCUUCGUGCUGGGAAUAAGGAUGUGGACCACUACACCCAGGCAGAGUGAUUUUUGUAUUCUAUUUAGAAAACUGUUGUAGGACAUGGUUUAGCAACUAUGUACUUAUUUGUUCUUAAUUCCAUCUUAGCCCAGUAUAGAUCUGCUUGUGCCUGUGCAUUGCUGUGUCCUUAUUAGUUGCUAGUACAUACCAUGCCAGGUGUUGCUUUCAUUUCAUCUUUACCGUCACAGGAGGACCGAAGGGGCUUAUUCCUAGCAUCAUUAAGGAAACCAUGGAGUGACACUUAAAAUUUUUAGUCUUGAGGCUCCCCACUUCCAGAACCACACAGCAGCCCAACAGUUAAACAAGGCAUCUGUGGUCACAUAGUUCACCAUUGCUGUUACUAGACCCACAUCUAAACAGAUCUCAGUAAACUGAAAAGUGUUCCCACAUUUUCUGAUUUGAAGUAUUAGGGUUGGUGGCAGGUUACACUCCCCGAGAAGGGAGUCUACUGUAUAGUGUCCUGUGCUGUAAGAAAGACCAACAGCAUGUUGUUUUGUCUUAGUGUUGGGGAGCAGAAU
rnacentral:lncRNA from 1 species